rnacentral:rRNA from 1 species
GUGUUGAGUGUACCUUUCGAAUAAGCACCGGCUAACUACGUGCCAGCAGCCGCGGUAAUACGUAGGGUGCAAGCGUUAUCCGGAAUUAUUGGGCGUAAAGGGCUCGUAGGCGGUUCGUCGCGUCCGGUGUGAAAGUCCAUCGCUUAACGGUGGAUCCGCGCCGGGUACGGGCGGGCUUGAGUGCGGUAGGGGAGACUGGAAUUCCCGGUGUAACGGUGGAAUGUGUAGAUAUCGGGAAGAACACCAAUGGCGAAGGCAGGUCUCUGGGCCGUUACUGACGCUGAGGAGCGAAAGCGUGGGGAGCGAACAGGAUUAGAUACCCUGGUAGUCCACGCCGUAAACGGUGGAUGCUGGAUGUGGGGCCCGUUCCACGGGUUCCGUGUCGGAGCUAACGCGUUAAGCAUCCCGCCUGGGGAGUACGGCCGCAAGGCUAAAACUCAAAGAAAUUGACGGGGGCCCGCACAAGCGGCGGAGCAUGCGGAUUAAUUCGAUGCAACGCGAAGAACCUUACCUGGGCUUGACAUGUUCCCGACGAUCCCAGAGAUGGGGUUUCCCUUCGGGGCGGGUUCACAGGUGGUGCAUGGUCGUCGUCAGCUCGUGUCGUGAGAUGUUGGGUUAAGUCCCGCAACGAGCGCAACCCUCGCCCCGUGUUGCCAGCGGAUUAUGCCGGGAACUCACGGGGGACCGCCGGGGUUAACUCGGAGGAAGGUGGGGAUGACGUCAGAUCAUCAUGCCCCUUACGUCCAGGGCUUCACGCAUGCUACAAUGGCCGGUACAACGGGAUGCGACAGUGCGAGCUGGAGCGGAUCCCUGAAAACCGGUCUCAGUUCGGAUC